rnacentral:rRNA from 1 species
UAUUCCCCACUGCUGCCUCCCGUAGGAGUCUGGGCCGUGUCUCAGUCCCAAUGUGGCCGUCCAACCUCUCAGUCCGGCUACUGAUCGUCGCCUUGGUGGGCCGUUACCUCACCAACCAGCUAAUCAGACGCGAGGCCAUCUUUCAGCGAUAAAUCUUUGGCAUUCGUACCAUGCGAUACAAAUGCGUUAUGCGGUAUUAGCAGUCGUUUCCAACUGUUGUCCCCCUCUGAAAGGCAGGUUCCUCACGCGUUACUCACCCGUCCGCCACUGUCCUCUGCUUCGAUUGGACGAAUCCUCUUUCCACAGAUUCUCGUUCGACUUGCAUGUGUUAAGCACGCCGCCAGCGUUCAUCCUGAGCCAA